rnacentral:rRNA from 1 species
GUAGUCCACGCUGUAAACGAUGAGAACUAGAUGUUGGUCUGCGCGAGCGGAUUAGUAUCGAAGCUAACGCGAUAAGUUCUCCGCCUGGGGAGUACGGCCGCAAGGUUAAAACUCAAAGGAAUUGACGGGGGCCCGCACAAGCGGUGGAGCAUGUGGUUUAAUUCGAUGCAACGCGAAGAACCUUACCUACCCUUGACAUCCUAAGAAUCCUGCAGAGAUGCGGGAGUGCCGAAAGGAAUUUAGAGACAGGUGCUGCAUGGCUGUCGUCAGCUCGUGUUGUGAGAUGUUGGGUUAAGUCCCGUAACGAGCGCAACCCUUAUCCUUAGUUGCCAACAUGUAAUGGUGGGGACUCUAAGGAGACUGCUGGUGAAGAACCGGA